rnacentral:tRNA from 1 species
GGGCCCGUGGCGGAAUCGGCAGACGCGGCGGCCUUAAAAGCCGCUUCCGGGAAACCGGAGUGCGGGUUCGACCCCCGCCGGGCCCA